UUCCCUCACACGAUCCUCUCUCUCAUCCCUCUUGCUGCAUCUCUCUUGCAGGAAGAAACCACCGCUCACGAUUCUCUCUCUGAUUCUCUCUCUCACGCCUCUCACUGCAUCUCUCUCACACCACUAACUCUGAGAACGAGUCUCUCUUUCACCCUUCUCGCGGUCUCUACUCACGAUUCUCUCUCACCCCUCACUGCAUAUCUCUCAAACCACUAUCUCUGUGAACGAGUCUCUCUCUCACUCUUCUCACUGUGGCUCUCUCACAACCCUCUCUCUACAAACGAAGGAGAGGGUUUCUCUGCUCUGUCGCGGUCUCCUCCUCUCGCGAAGGUCUAUCUCUGUGAACGAAGGUCUCUCUUCCUCAAGAGUUCACAAAGGAGCUCUGGGAGAUUCUAAAGGUAGAAAUUGAUGAGCCUAAAAUAGAAGAUGAAAGAAAGGGAAGAACUGGAGUGUGACUAAUCAGGUUUGAGAUUAAUUCCCCUUCAUUAUCAACACUUCUCCUUUACAAGUAUGGUUGUGACCUUUGGAGAGGAUGCAAAUUGUAAAGAUGGUAGCUCCACAAUCCACAUGCCUGGGCCCUAUAAACGGCAGUUUGGUUGCUUCUUCUAACAAUACAACUUGAGGAAUGUAUUGUAUAAUCUCUCUCUCUCUCUCUCUCUCUCUCUCUCUCUCUCUACCCUCACCCCCCCCCCAUAAUUUUAAAAGUCAGUUUUCUUUUA